rnacentral:tRNA from 1 species
GUAAUGUUAGUAUAUUUAGUACAUGUUCCUUCCAAGAAUAAAGAUUUAGUAACAUUAUA